rnacentral:rRNA from 1 species
CCUACGGGUGGCAGCAGUGAGGAAUAUUGGUCAAUGGGCGUGAGCCUGAACCAGCCAAGUCGCGUGAAGGAUGACUGUUCUAUGGGUCGUAAACCUCUUUUAUAAAGGAAUAAAGUGAGGGACGUGUGCCGUUUUGUAUGUACCUUAUGAAUAAGGAUCGGCUAACUCCGUGCCAGCAGCCGCGGUAAUACGGAGGAUCCGAGCGUUAUCCGGAUUUAUUGGGUUUAAAGGGUGCGUAGAGGGUCUGUUAAGUCAGCGGUGAAAGUUUGUGGCUCAACCAUAGAAUUGCAGUUGAUACUGGGAGGCUUGAGUAUGUUUGAGGUAGGCGGAAUGCGUGGUGUAGCGGUGAAAUGCAUAGAUAUCACGCAGAACCCCGAUUGCGAAGGCAGCAUACCGGUGCACAACUGACGCUCAGGCACGAAAGCGUGGGUAUCGAACAGGAUUAGAUACCCCUGUAGUC